UUGAGGGCUCCACCUCCAUACAUGGGAUUGUUGCCCUUAAGAAAGAGGCUUGAAGGGGCCCUUUUGCCCCUCUGCUGUGUCACAAUGCAGCAACAAGGCCCUAUCUAUGAGGUAGAAAAGGAGCCCUCACCAGACACCAAAUCUGCUAGCACCUUGAUGUUGGAUUUCCCACUUUCCAGAACUGUGAGCAGUAACUAUAUGCUGUUUAUAAAUUACCCAAAGACAGGUAGUGAGCACACUGGAAGAGGAUCCUCAACUCUUAUAAUUGUUGCCCUUCAUCACUCAGCAGUGAAGAAUGAAAAUCAACAGAGCUUUCCCCAGCCUGCUGCUUAA
rnacentral:lncRNA from 13 species